UCUUUGGUAGUAUAGUGGUUAGUAUACCCGCCUGUCAUUAAACCGACUGUCCGCGGGUGACCGGGGUUCAAUUCCCCGCCAGAGAG